rnacentral:rRNA from 1 species
UACAGAGGUCUCGAGCGUUGUUCGGAUUCAUUGGGCGUAAAGGGUGCGUAGGUGGCUUGGUCAGUCGGAUGUGAAAUCCCGGGGCUCAACCCCGGAACUGCAUUCGAUACUGCCAGGCUGGAGUACUGGAGAGGAGAUUGGAAUUUACGGUGUAGCAGUGAAAUGCGUAGAUAUCGUAAGGAAGACCAGUGGCGAAGGCGGAUCUCUGGACAGUUACUGGCACUGAGGCACGAAGGCCAGGGGAGCAAACGGG